rnacentral:rRNA from 1 species
UACGGAGGAGGCAAGCGUUAUCCGGAAUUAUUGGGCGUAAAGCGUCCGCAGGUGGCUGUUCAAGUCUGCUGUCAAAGCGCAGAGCUUAACUCUGUACAGGCGGUGGAAACUGAAGAGCUAGAGUAUGGUAGGGGUAGAGGGAAUUCCCGGUGUAGCGGUGAAAUGCGUAGAUAUCGGGAAGAACACCAGUGGCGAAAGCGCUCUACUGGGCCAUAACUGACACUGAGGGACGAAAGCUAGGGGAGCGAAAGGG